rnacentral:rRNA from 1 species
AAUAGACAUGCAAGUCGAGCGAACAGAAGGGAGCUUGCUCCCGGAUGUUAGCGGCGGACGGGUGAGUAACACGUGGGUAACCUGCCUGUAAGACUGGGAUAACUCCGGGAAACCGGAGCUAAUACCGGAUAGUUCCUUGAACCGCAUGGUUCAAGGAUGAAAGACGGUUUCGGCUGUCACUUACAGAUGGACCCGCGGCGCAUUAGCUAGUUGGUGGGGUAAUGGCUCACCAAGGCGACGAUGCGUAGCCGACCUGAGAGGGUGAUCGGCCACACUGGGACUGAGACACGGCCCAGACUCCUACGGGAGGCAGCAGUAGGGAAUCUUCCGCAAUGGACGAAAGUCUGACGGAGCAACGCCGCGUGAGUGAUGAAGGUUUUCGGAUCGUAAAGCUCUGUUGUUAGGGAAGAACAAGUGCGAGAGUAACUGCUCGCACCUUGACGGUACCUAACCAGAAAGCCACGGCUAACUACGUGCCAGCAGCCGCGGUAAUACGUAGGUGGCAAGCGUUGUCCGGAAUUAUUGGGCGUAAAGGGCUCGCAGGCGGUUUCUUAAGUCUGAUGUGAAAGCCCCCGGCUCAACCGGGGAGGGUCAUUGGAAACUGGGAAACUUGAGUGCAGAAGAGGAGAGUGGAAUUCCACGUGUAGCGGUGAAAUGCGUAGAGAUGUGGAGGAACACCAGUGGCGAAGGCGACUCUCUGGUCUGUAACUGACGCUGAGGAGCGAAAGCGUGGGGAGCGAACAGGAUUAGAUACCCUGGUAGUCCACGCCGUAAACGAUGAGUGCUAAGUGGUUAGGGGGGUUUCCGCCCCUUAGUGCUGCAGCUAACGCAUUAAGCACUCCGCCUGGGGGAGUACGGUCGCAAGACUGAAACUCAAAGGAAUUGACGGGGGCCCGCACAAGCGGUGGAAGCAUGUGGUUUAAUUCGAAGCAACGCGAAGAACCUUACCAGGUCUUGACAUCCUCUGACACCCUAGAGAUAGGCUUUCCUUCGGGACAAAUGAC